UGGCGAGCUGAAAAAAGAAAAAAAAACACACUAUUAACACUUCACGAUCAAUUUAUCAACAUUUUACAAUCAGAUCGUCGCUAAAUUUCAUACUCAACGGUCAAAAGUAAAAACUAACGGUCCGAGAAUGGUUACAUUACCUUUAUCAGAGGGUUGAGGUUCGUUCAACAAUUGGAAACUAUAACCUCCGGGAGCUUUAACAGUAACACAACCGUCUUUUUCCUCGAUCGGCCAGUCGUGCUUUUUCGCAUUGGCUAUCGCUUCGCUGGAUUUUAUAGUCAGACCUAAGAAAUCGUUGCCUAAAUCGUAAGUAUUCACGUUGUAAUUGUACGUUAGUUCGACUACGAAAUGAGUAUCUUCGAUUCCAUAUCCAACCAUGGUUUUACUCCAACGAUUAUCGUACGGUCUGUAAAGUAAAUAUUGGUCAAUUUAAGAUAUCAGUACGUGUGUCUUGGAACGGGAACUAAGCCGGAUAUUUACCCGUUGCAUUUCGCAUCGCAGCCUUCGGUGAAUUCUUCGUGUCGAAGGAUCUGUUAAAAUUAAUACAAAGAUUGUAUGAUACGUUUAUGAUGAGUAAAAUGAUGUGGAUUUGACUGGGUAGAUACUUACUUUCAUUCCGAGAACAUCCUUGUAGAAUUUAAUAGUACGGGCUCUGUCACCGACUUUCAAUACGAAAUGUAAAGCUCUACCGGUUAAAUUCAUCGUGCGAUUUGGAAGAUUACAAAAAUUGGAAGAUUCAAAGGCCUUAGACGUAGGAAUAAAGAAGCUGCAAAGUUAUACAAUUAUUUUGUGGUGCUAUGAAUUUUGAUGACGGUAGAUGGUUUACGUAUUCAUUUAGCGGAUAAUUACAGAAUAAUGUGUAACCAGGAGAUGAUUAAUAACAUUUUUACGUCACUUGGAAAAUUUUAUGCAAUUGUUAUCAUUUUUUUAAUCAGCUGGUUCAUGGAUGUGUUGUAAUUUUGUCGUAAAAAUAUCGACUUAGCUAACUAUCGAUUUUGUACCGAUAGGUAUUAUACAUUUUUAGUCGAAUAGGUAGGAAUACGUUAUAAUACGGUUUCGUUUCUGUUUAAGUUACUUUACUAGUUGUAACGUAUUUUAGUUACUGGUUUUAAGCUUUUGAGCUUUUGUAAAGCUCGCCUUGCUUUUUGUUAUUUAUUCUUAUUAUGUUAAUAAACGUUAAAGCGUAA